GCUAACAAGGAAUGCAGUGUGGCUGUAUGAUAAUUCACUGUUAAAACAAGUCCAGACAUUUAGUUAAUUAUAUUGGUUUUAUAGACGUUCAACCCAGUCACCUGUCACUGAAAAGGUGGAGGGGGUGGGUUUUUAUACUGCAUGACAGGCAGGUGAACACUGUUGAAGUUGGAAUAAUGAGAAUACGGUUAGGUUAGGUCUGUAACUUUGGUUAACACAGAGUUAAACCACCUGCUUGAGGAGUUACAUAAGAUACAGAAGACCUGAAAACUACUUGCACCCUGGCAGGAGUAUGAUGCUUCCUAGUGUUGCACCCAUCCCUUGGCCCUUUGUAGGCUGCUUCAGGGUCCAGCCCUUUUCCAUGUUCCUCUUGGUCAAGCUUCAGGUGGCAGCCCUUGAAUAUGAACAAAGCUAGAGCCAGACGAAUGGUAAUCCUGCCUGCGAGGCGCUGGUGUCAAAGGUCACUCGUCGCCAGCAGAUGAAUCCUGUGGUCGGGGUGGCAGAGGCUAUGAUAGAGAGGAGAAGAAGACAGAGGAGCUCUUUUUUCUGAGGUUAUCCAGGGAGAAUCUAAUGAGGAGGAUUGGAGGAGAGAGAAGCCAUGCUGCUGCUUGGGCGGAGGCCAGAGGCGAGCUGCGGGAAAACGUCAAUACAGAAAGCAACACAGAGGAGGAUGAGGUAGAGAGGGAGAAAACUAAUGCGAAACAUGAAAUGAAAAGGAGAGUGGAGACAAGGCACAAUCAGUAGUUGCAUUCUGUGGUGUUGUGCGAGAGCCACUUAGUUCCUGAGGACAAGCCCAAGGCUAAUAAAGCUGAAAGUCUGUAGAUGCUCUGACCUUGCUUUGGGAAGCAAAGACCUAAUAAGGACACUGUCUAAAGAGAGAAAAAAACUUUUCUUUCUCUCCAGAGCAAACACUCUCUCCAUCCCUAUUUCAUACACUUGCUUCAUUAUAGCACAGAAGGGAAGAGGAACCUAUAGGCACCCUAAUGAAGGGGACUGUUGGAUCAAGUACAUUAAAAGGAGGGAUUAGACAGUGUCUGACAUGGAAACGGACUUUGAACAUGUUCAUACUGCAUGAUUAGUAACAGACUGACAUUUUUAACUCG